rnacentral:misc_RNA from 1 species
GUGAAGAACGCAGCGAAAUGCCAUACUUGGUGUGAAUUGCAGAAUCCCGUGAACCAUCGAGUCUUUGAACGCAAGUUGCGCCCGAAGCCAUCAGGUUGAGGGCACGUCUGCCUGGGCGUCACAUAUCGUUGCCCAAUGCCUAUUGCAGUGCAAUAGGAAUUUCUAGGGCGAAUGAUGGCUUCCCGUGAGCGUUGUUGCCUCGCGGUUGGUUGAAAAUCGAGUCCUUGGUAGGGUGUGCCAUGGUAGAUGGUGGUCGAGUUAGAACGAUACCGAUCAUGUGCAUGCUCCCCAAAAUAUGGCCUCUAUGACCCACACGCGUCUUUUGACGCUCAUGACGAGACCUCAGGUCAGGCGGGGCUACCCGCUGAAUUUAAGCAUAUCAAUAAGCGGAGGA